CGAAGGAAGAAAUUCAUUCGCGUUUCGUAGUUGGCGGAGAGAGGAAUUGUGUGACGAGAAUCGCUUGCGAUUUUUGCGCCGUCCUUUCUACGAAUCGAUUACGAACGUGUGCACUUUUCUUCUGGUAGGACGUCGCGAUCCGUUGGGUGUCGGUUUAAGGUUCAUGGUGGAGUCCGUUUUGCCUAUGUGUCGAACGGACCCGUGUUAUCCCGACCGACUCACUCGACGGUAUACGAAAGGUUUAAGGCCGCUCAUUUGGAGCGUUCGACUCGUAACAACUGCGUUAGUUUUUGUUGAAGAUCGGACCUAGUGCCGAUCCCGACAGCUGACGAUUUGCUUGUUUGCGAAGAUUCUCGAACAGACCUUGUUAACCGAUCGGCGACGAUAUAGAUUUGGGUACUUUCAGGACCCGUCUUGAAACACGGACCAAGGAGUCCAGCAUAUACGCAAGUCAUUGGGAAUGACUAAACCUAAAGGCAUAAUGAAAGUAAAAAUUCUCCUUGCGGGAAUUAAGGGAAGACAAGUGGUUUAGCCGUUAAAAGCGGCCACUUUGCAUUCCUGGGGCGUCUCAUUCUCAGUAUUUCCUUGUGAUUUGCGAGAAGAGGCGCACCAAGAGCGUAUACGCUG
rnacentral:rRNA from 1 species